UGGGGAAUAUUGGACAAUGGGCGAAAGCCUGAUCCAGCCAUGCCGCGUGUGUGAAGAAGGUCUUCGGAUUGUAAAGCACUUUAAGUUGGGAGGAAGGGCAGUUACCUAAUACGUAUCUGUUUUGACGUUACCGACAGAAUAAGCACCGGCUAACUCUGUGCCAGCAGCCGCGGUAAUACAGAGGGUGCAAGCGUUAAUCGGAAUUACUGGGCGUAAAGCGCGCGUAGGUGGUUUGUUAAGUUGGAUGUGAAAUCCCCGGGCUCAACCUGGGAACUGCAUUCAAAACUGACAAGCUAGAGUAUGGUAGAGGGUGGUGGAAUUUCCUGUGUAGCGGUGAAAUGCGUAGAUAUAGGAAGGAACACCAGUGGCGAAGGCGACCACCUGGACUAAUACUGACACUGAGGUGCGAAAGCGUGGGGAGCAAACAGGAUUAGAUACCCCCGUAGUCCCUGAGCGGGCUGGCAAGGCGCAU
rnacentral:rRNA from 1 species